UACGUAGGGUGCGAGCGUUAAUCGGAAUUACUGGGCGUAAAGCGUGCGUAGGCGGUUCGCUGUGUCCGAUGUGAAAGCCCCGGGCUUAACCUGGGAAUGGCAUUGGAAACUGGCGGGCUUGAGUGCGGCAGAGGGGGGUGGAAUUCCGCGUGUAGCAGUGAAAUGCGUAGAUAUGUGGAGGAACACCGAUGGCGAAGGCAGCCCCCUGGGUUAACACUGACGCUCAUGCACGAAAGCGUGGGGAGCAAACAGG
rnacentral:rRNA from 1 species